rnacentral:lncRNA from 1 species
AAGAGCCUCAAGGUGGGAGCAGGAAGGCUCUGCUGUGUCAGGUUAUACCUGCACAUAUGCAUGGCCACAUGGCCCAACACUGUAAGGGCCUUGCUUGUAAGUCCCUUAUUCCUGGCCCUCCCAGGAAUGAGGGUAAAAAAAAAAAAAAAAAGCACCUUGAAGCUGGCAGAACAGCCCCACGCAUCUGUGCCGUGCUUCCUGCCCCCUCUGCUGCUGUGAAGUGCCUGUGGUGGAUGUGGGAUGCUUCCACGCCAGCUCGUGUGGCCUCUUCCACCCACAGGGAUAACUGGGGUGUGCCGAUCGGCCACCCCAGGUCAAAGGGACUUCUGGCUGGGGAAAUAAGGGAAGAUCUCACAGACAUGGCAGCCUCUGUUUUGGGCCUUGAAAGAUGAGCAGAAAUUGGGCAUGCAGGGCUGGGAGAAGGGUAUUAUGAA